GUGCUUGCUUCAGCAGCACAUAUAGUAAAACUUGAAUGAUACAGAGAAGAUUACCAUGGCCCCUGCACAAGGAUGACAAGCAAAUUCAUGAAGCAUUCCAUAUUUUU